AUUUGACUUAGUUAGGGGGCAAAUAUUAAUAGAAAAUCUAAUGUUUAUUAGGUUUCAUUCAAAGAUAGGCUUUUUGAAUCUACAAUUUGUUCUCUCAUAUCAUUUGUAACUCAAACAGCCUUUCACAUAU
rfam:Cicer arietinum chromosome Ca2, whole genome shotgun sequence.